rnacentral:rRNA from 1 species
UACGUAGGGUGCAAGCGUUGUCCGGAAUUAUUGGCGUAAGGGCUCGCUAGGCGGUCCAUCGCGUCGGGAGUGAAAAGCUGGGGCUUAACCCCAGUCCUGCUUCCGAUACGGGUGGACUAGAGGUAGGUAGGGGAGACGGAAUUCCUGGUGUAGCGGUGAAAUGACGCAGAUAUCAGGAGGAACACCGGUGGCGAAGGCGGUCUCUGGGCCUUACCUGACGCUGAGGAGCGAAAGCAUGGGGAGCAAACAGG